UACAGAGGGGGCAAGCGUUGUUCGGAAUUACUGGGCGUAAAGGGCGCGUAGGUGGCCUUCUAAGUCGAACGUGAAAUCCCUGGGCUCAACCCAGGAACUGCGUCCGAUACUGGAAGGCUUGAAUCCGGGAGAGGGAUGCGGAAUUCCAGGUGUAGCGGUGAAAUGCGUAGAUAUCUGGAGGAACACCGGUGGCGAAGGCGGCAUCCUGGACCAAUAUUGACGCUGAGGAGCGAAAGCCAGGGGAGCAAACGGG
rnacentral:rRNA from 1 species